GGAAUGAUGGCCGAGUGGUUUAAGGCGCUGCGUUCAGGUCGCAGUCUCCUCUGGAGGCGCGGGUUCGAAUCCCGCUCCUGUCA
rnacentral:tRNA from 1 species